ensembl:lncRNA
AAGUUGUUAAAAAUAAGAUGAUUCAAAGAACAUGAAACACUGAAACAUGGCUAAACCUGAUGUGAUCUGGUUGGGAACAAGAAAGAGCUUCACCUAUGACUCGCCCAAUCUUCAAAUCUGAGUGUCAAUAAAACAGAAAAUCGCUCAUAAGUGAAACUUUUGAAUUAAUAUUUACAUUAAAUAUUGAAUAUUUCUGCUAAAACAUAAUAGUGUGAAAUCUAACAUUUACUAUGAUUUUAAGAAUGCAUGUCACCAUAUAAGGUUGUGAGUAAUUUCUAAAUUUUGUAUGAAUACAUUUUAUUUGACCCAUUUUGUUUUCUUUGAACUAGAUGGCUCGUCAAAGAGUUCAGAGGUGUUGUUCCCACCUGCUGAGUCACCACUCAACCUACCACGUCACUCUAAAUCCAAUAGUUAUCCAGCAAUGAUGCCAUGUAACAGCCCUGAAUGCAACUUGAUGAUAGUCUGGGUCGAACGGUUCGAGGACAUUGGUAACUAUGAUUCAUUUUUCUGAAAACAGAAGUUCAUGCUUGCUCUGUGCAAAUUUAAAGUCCAUGGUGACAUUACAGAUCACAUAGACAAAGAGACUACCAGUGAGAGAUGUCUUAAAUUCAGAAGAGUUUGCUGAAGAGACUGAGACACAUAGAGUGAUCAACACACUCAGGCCAGCUCAAAGACAAAGUGUUAUACUACUCACACAGUUCAAUACAUGUUUAAACACAGGCUCUGGAAUCUUAAUGGCCUGGCCUGUGGCAGAUUAACUAUUAAUGUAGGUGAUCUGGAUCUAAUCUGUCUAUGCCGUGAAUGGAGGAUAAAUGUGUUUUUGUGUUUCAGAGAAUUUCCCUGUGUCUGGUCUCCUGUCACAUACCAGGUCACAAACAGAGAUGAGGUAAAACUCUCAUUCAUUCUCACGCUUUAAGACUAUGAAAAAUCUUAAAAUGUGCAAACACACUUUUGUCCAUCAAUCUGUUAGUAUAUCCACAAUCCAGCUGAUUUUUAUACAUCCUCUGAAAACUGGACUCUACCGAAUCCAUGUCAGUGAAAACACCACCAGCAAGUUUGGUUUGGUAGUCCCAUUGGUCAGCGGGAGUGUGGUCAGCCAGAGGUCACUGGGUAUGUGUCUCCUUGUCUUCAUGUCUGCAUCUGUGACUGCCUUUUUUCCUGUCUGACCGUCUCGCUGUCUCCAGGUUUUUUGGUUAGGGAGAUGGUGAUAAACUGGUGCCACCGAAGAUUGUUAGAAAGUGACUCUACUCCACCACCUCACAUUAGAAGAAAGCACAUGAUCAAUGACAUCACUCUUCGCUACCGCAGCCGCCACUCUGAACCUGCCUUUUACUCUUCCCUUUUCUAUGAACCCUAAUCUGCUAGCCCUGCAAUUGCGUGUGUGUGUGUGUGUGUGUGUGUGUGUGUGUGUGUGUGUGUGUGUGUGUGUGUGUGUGUGAGAGAGAGAGAGAGCGAGAGAGAGAGAGUAUGAAAGGGUUGUUAAGUUAGCCAAUCAGACAAAAAAGGUUCUGUUUCAGCCUCCAGCUAAAGACUAGACUAAACAUUGAAAUUAAAGAUAAUAUAUACAGAUAUUGUAUGUUUUUUUUGUUUUAAAAAGGAAAGCAAAAACCUGUGUACUUUAAGAGUCUUAUGUUCAUCCCAUCAGCCAACUAAUUGGUCCUCUGUUGAAUUACAUUGACCAUUUUAUAGCAAAAUACCUUUACAAUGCAAACUACAGAGCAUAUGCAAUGACACAUCUAUGUUUGUUUUUGUUUUUCGUUUUUUUUUUGGGGG